CACGUAGGGCGCGAGCGUUGUCCGGAAUUAUUGGGCGUAAAGAGCUCGUAGGCGGCCUGUUGCGUCCGCUGUGAAAGCCCGGGGCUUAACCCCGGGUCGGCAGUGGAUACGGGCAGGCUAGAGGUAGGUAGGGGAGAAUGGAAUUCCCGGUGUAGCGGUGAAAUGCGCAGAUAUCGGGAGGAACACCGGUGGCGAAGGCGGUUCUCUGGGCCUUGACUGACGCUGAGGCGCGAAAGCGUGGGGAGCAAACAGG
rnacentral:rRNA from 1 species